rnacentral:lncRNA from 1 species
GCUGUAGAAGAUGGGGUGCUGCUGUAGUAAGACUGACGAGUGGAGAGACAGCGACAGCGACAGCGAAAGCAUCAGCGGCAUCGACAGUGACAUCAGCAGUCUGUCAGACAUCCUGCACUACAGUGGAUGGAGGACGGUGAUGGUGGAGCACAGGCAGCACACCACCGCAGGAACCCAGCAGGCAUGGUUGGAUGCAGAGCUUAAAGGAGACAGCAGGUGUAAGGAGGAACCUGAGGUUAUUAGGAACCCAACACGUGUCGGGCCCACCCUUGAAUCAGAUCCCUGUGUGGCGCUGGACAGACUGAGCACAGGCGGAGAGGAAAACACUCCAGAUGGGUCAAACAGCUUCUACAGCAUCCGUCCCAUUGAUGCUGAUGACCUUGAGCAGGAGCAGAACCAGUGGGCAACAGAUGAGCCUGGUCCAUCCACUGUGCUGCAAACCGAGUUACUAACACCUCCUCCUGAAACAGACACUGGAUUAUUCCAAACACUUCCUCCUGGACCAGACCCCGAUUUAUUCCCAACACCUCCUCCUGGACCAGACCCUGAUUUAUUCCCAACACCUCCUCCUGGACCAGUCUCUGGAUUAUUCUCAACACCUCCUGAAUUGUCUUUACUGAGUGAGGUCGAUGUGCGUGUGACCACAAUAUCCUCACCGGAUACUGUUUCCUCCCAUCACACCGAUGUCACGACCUCGUCUCUCAACAAUCCAGGAAAAUUGUACGGUCCAGAAACUCACCGUAGAUCCCCCAAAUCCCACUUUGAGUGGCAGGAAAAUGCGGAGCUCAAACGUUCGUGGCUUCCAGCGAAUUCACGCAUCCGGAAAAUCCCGAGCCGAGAAGAGGGCGAUGAUCCCUCUGUCUCAAUUUGUUUUUACAGUGCACCUGAAGACCUGGCCCCCCCGAGACCUGAGCGUCAGGAUGUUGCCAUACAAACUUUGCCCCCUGGUGCUUGUGGAGAUGCUUCCACUCCACCCAAGAUUGAGUCCGUCUGUCUGGUGAUGGCUGAAGGGGGCAACAGUGGGGACAAGACGAAGGGAAUGGUGUGGUCCCAGGGAACACCCCAGGCUGAGUCCCCACAGACAGGCAGAGGUGUGGACAUCCCAGGGCCAGUGUCGGAGCUCCAGCCCUCCAAGGUUCCCAGAGACUGCCCACAGCCUAAAACUUUGCCAGGACUGUCAGCCAAACCUCCCAGACUACAAAGGAGAGGACGCGUCAGCAUGGGGAGAAGAUACCAACAGAGGGAAGCAGACAAGACAAAGGAGCUGGUAAGCAACUGCUGGUUUUGCCUUGUGGACACACCAGUGCUCAGUUUCCACAUUGACCCAGUGCUGCUUUAUAGGACGCAGAGAGGAAGCCGUCACCUCUUCCUGAGAUCGGGGAGGCCAACUUCCCUUCUCUUUCUGCUGUGA